rnacentral:lncRNA from 1 species
CUGGACAGACACGUGGAGAAUGAGGACCAGGCCAGGUGAGGUCAGGGGAGUGAGCCCAGACACUCCACUCAAGACCUUCCAUUCCUUCAGCUCUUGAAGACCAGCCAGGCUGUAAGUCCCUGGUCAUCAGCCCACGCAGAGAAACUCAAGCUCUGAGAGUGUCCUGAGACCUGUCCCCUGGGAAGCCACAGGUCUGUUUGGCACUGGCACGGCACCAGCAGGCAGUGUGCUGAGUGGGUUGACUGUGUUACAAUUGGCAUUUUCAACUCUACCAAAUACCUCAUGCUGCGCUGAAAGCGGACAGCUUCUCAGGGACCCAGUCUGAGACACGUCAAGGAAUCCAGAUGGAGUCAGGGCACCGUCCGCUCCCAAAGUCUUUCUCGAAGCAGCCACUGUCCUUUGGGGUUCUCUGUCUCAUAGUAGUCCUCCCCAGGAGACAACUGGGGCUCCAACGCAAAGAGCUCUGCAUCCCACUCCAUAUCUUCUCCUGAGAAGUUGAAAAGGAUCUGUCUGGAGCUCCCCAGGUCUUUUUUGCAGGCUUUGGGCUUAAAUUUCCAGGUGUUGAAGGCCCCUUCCACAGCCUUGGGCAAAUAAAUGGGGUGCCUC